GACGAACGCUGGCGGCGUGCUUAACACAUGCAAGUCGAACGGAAAGGCCCUGCUUUUGUGGGGUGCUCGAGUGGCGAACGGGUGAGUAACACGUGAGUAACCUGCCCUUGACUUUGGGAUAACUUCAGGAAACUGGGGCUAAUACCGGAUAGGAGCUCCUGCUGCAUGGUGGGGGUUGGAAAGUUUCGGCGGUUGGGGAUGGACUCGCGGCUUAUCAGCUUGUUGGUGGGGUAGUGGCUUACCAAGGCUUUGACGGGUAGCCGGCCUGAGAGGGUGACCGGCCACAUUGGGACUGAGAUACGGCCCAGACUCCUACGGGAGGCAGCAGUGGGGAAUAUUACACAAUGGGCGGAAGCCUGAUGCAGAAACGCCGCGUGCGGGAUGACGGCCUUCGGGUUGUAAACCGCUUUCGCCUGUGACGAAGCGUGAGUGACGGUAAUGGGUAAAGAAGCACCGGCUAACUACGUG
rnacentral:rRNA from 1 species